rnacentral:rRNA from 1 species
GAUGACCUCUGGCGGCGUGCCUAACACAUGCAAGUCGAACGAAGCACCUUUUGAGAUUCUUCGGAUGAUCGAUCGGUGACUGAGUGGCGGACGGGUGAGUAACGCGUGGGUAACCUGCCCUGUACAGGGGGAUAACAGCUGGAAACGGCUGCUAAUACCGCAUAAGCGCACGAGGAGACAUCUCCUAGUGUGAAAAACUCCGGUGGUACAGGAUGGGCCCGCGUCUGAUUAGCUGGUUGGCAGGGUAACGGCCUACCAAGGCAACGAUCAGUAGCCGGUCUGAGAGGAUGAACGGCCACAUUGGAACUGAGACACGGUCCAAACUCCUACGGGAGGCAGCAGUGGGGAAUAUUGCACAAUGGGGGAAACCCUGAUGCAGCACCGCCGCGUGAGUGAAGAAGUAUUUCGGUAUGUAAAGCUCUAUCAGCAGGGAAGAUAAUGACGGUACCUGACUAAGAAGCUCCGGCUAAAUACGUGCCAGCAGCCGCGGUAAUACGUAUGGAGCAAGCGUUUUCCGGAUUUACUGGGUGUAAAGGGUGCGUAGGUGGCAGUGCAAGUCAGAUGUGAAAGGCCGGGGCUCAACCCCGGAGCUGCAUUUGAAACUGCAUAGCUGGAGUACAGGAGAGGCAGGCGGAAUUCCUAGUGUAGCGGUGAAAUGCGUAGAUAUUAGGAGGAACACCAGUGGCGAAGGCGGCCUGCUGGACUGUUACUGACACUGAGGCACGAAAGCGUGGGGAGCAAACAGGAUUAGAUACCCUGGUAGUCCACGCCGUAAACG